rnacentral:rRNA from 1 species
AUUGAACGCUGGCGGCAGGCCUAACACAUGCAAGUCGAACGAUCCUUCGGGAUAGUGGCAGACGGGUGAGUAACGCGUGGGAACCUUCCCUGUGGUACGGAAUAGCUCCGGGAAACUGGAAUUAAUACCGUAUACGCCCUUUGGGGGAAAGAUUUAUCGCCAUAGGAUGGGCCCGCGUUGGAUUAGCUAGUUGGUGAGGUAACGGCUCACCAAGGCGACGAUCCAUAGCUGGUCUUAGAGGAUGAUCAGCCACACUGGGACUGAGACACGGCCCAGACUCCUACGGGAGGCAGCAGUGGGGAAUAUUGGACAAUGGGCGCAAGCCUGAUCCAGCCAUGCCGCGUGAGUGACGAAGGCCUUAGGGUUGUAAAGCUCUUUUGGCGGGGACGAUAAUGACGGUACCCGCAGAAUAAGCCCCGGCUAACUUCGUG